GGGCGGGCCCGACGCGGCAGAGGCUAUUGAACCUCGUCAGGUCCGAGAGGAAGCAGCGAUAAGGUAGUCCCUCUGGGUGCCGUCGGUCAACCUGCCCAGG
rnacentral:SRP_RNA from 1 species